UACGGGAGGGGCAAGCGUUAUCCAAAAUUACUGGGCGUAAAGUGUCCGUAGACUGUAAUAUAAGUUUUAUAUUAAAAUUUAAAGCUUAACUUUAAAAAAAUAUAAAAUACUGUUUUACUUGAGUUUUAUAUGGAAGAGUAGAAUUUCAUGUAAAAGAGUAAAUUCUAAAAACACAUGAAGGAAUAUCAUAAGCGAAAGCGACUCUUUAGUACAAACUGACGUUGAGGGACGAAAGUGUAGGGAGCGAACAGGAUUAGAUACCCUGGUAGUCUAUACUGUAAAUUCUGAGUGCUGUAAUUUAAAUUAAAAAUUUUAGAUUUUCUAAGCUAACGCUAUAAGCAUUCCGCCUGAGGAGUACGAUCGCAAGAUUGGAACUCAAAGGAAUUGACGGGAGCCUACAACGAGUGGUGGAGCAUGUGGUUUAAUGCGAUAAUCCGCGCAAAACCUUACCAACCCUUGACAUAUCAAAUAAUAAUUUGAACUUUUUACAAUUAUUUUUUAAUCAAUUUUUUAAUUGAAAAAUUUUUUUUACAGGUGUUGCACGACUGUCGUCAGUUCGUGUCGUGAGAUGUUUGGUUCAUUCCUUUAAACGAGCGUAACUCUUAUUUUUAAAAAACUACUUUUAAUUUUCGAUAUUUAUUGAAAAUUCUGCUUUAAAAAAACUGUUUGUUAAUAAUAAAUACUUUAAAGGAAGGUGAGAAUUAAGUCAAGUCACUGUGGCCCUUAUGGGUUGGGCUACACACGUGCUACAAUGAAAAUGACAAAAAGUAACAAAAAUAAAAAAUUUUCGUUAAUCUUUAAAAAUUUUCUUAGUUCGAAUUGUAAACUGCAACUCGUUUACAUAAAGAUGGAAUCACAAGUAAUCGCAAAUCAGAACGUUGCGGUGAAUACGUACCUUGGCUU
rnacentral:rRNA from 1 species